GCUUAACUGAACCACCAACCAAUCCCUACACAACCUAAGAACCCUUACAUAAUACUGAGUAAUUCUAUAUCCCCUAUAGAAGAUUUCAUGUUAAAACUAGUAACAAGAAGAAGAACUUCUCCUAAAAUGCAAGUGUAAAUCAGACAGGACACCCCGCUGACAAUUAGCACUCUUGAACAAAAAGUAGCAACUUAACAAGAAAACCCUACUAUACCCCGUGUUAACCUGACACAAGAGCAUUACAAGAAAGAUUUAAAGAAAGAGAAGGAACUCGGCAAACAUUAACCUCGCCUGUUUACCAAAAACAUCGCCUCUUGAAUAAAUAUAAGAGGUCCAGCCUGCCCAGUGACUCUGUUCAACGGCCGCGGUAUCCUAACCGUGCGAAGGUAGCGUAAUCACUUGUUCUUUAAAUGAGGACUAGUAUGAACGGCGCCACGAAGGUUACACUGUCUCCUCUUUCCAAUCAGUGAAACUAAUCUCCCCGUGAAGAAGCGGGGAUAAGUAUAUAAGACGAGAAGACCCUAUGGAGCUUUAAACCACACAACACCUGCUCUAACUUAACUAACUUCCAGAAAAACCCCUAUCUACCCACGCAGGAUGAUUGCCAGUUUUAGGUUGGGGUGACCGCGGAGCACAACAUAACCUCCACAUUGAAAGGAGUCCACUCCUUAGCCAAGAGCCACACCUCCACGCAUCAACAAAAUGACAUUAAUUGACCCAAUAUAUUGAUCAACGAACCAAGUUACCCUAGGGAUAACAGCGCAAUCCACUUUAAGAGCCCCUAUCGACAAGUGGGUUUACGACCUCGAUGUUGGAUCAGGGUAUCCCGGUGGUGCAGCCGCUACCAAAGGUUCGUUUGUU
rnacentral:rRNA from 1 species